rnacentral:snRNA from 1 species
AUACUUACCGGGCAGGAAGAUACCAUGAUCAUGAAGGUGGUUUUCCAGGGUGAGGCUUAUCCAUUGCACUCCAGAUGUGCUGACUCCUAUAGUUUCCCCAAAUGUGGGAAACUGGACUGUAAAAUUUAUGGUAGGAGGGGACUGUGUUUGGGCUCUCCCCUA